UUAAUUACUGUCCAAUGGAGUAGAGCCCCCUGGCUGGGGAAAGGGAAGUCUCCAGUGGCACGUGGCAGAAAAUGCCAGCCACCUGGCUGUGCUGGACCCUUGGGCCAUGCAUCCCAGCCCCAGCAAGGAGAGGAGAGUCAUGGGGAGCUGCUGCUCGCCGGUUUGAAACAUCUCCUUCCUUGACUAUCAGCCAAACUACAGUAUCUUCAAGAUGCCACUAAAUUGUCUUCUGCUCUAUAAAGGCACCACUGACGUAGUGCAGAAUUGGCAUUCCUUCUUUGAACACCCAUCUUACAUGGUGCAGAGUUGUAAUAUUGCAUAGUCCAUUGAAUUGUUAUCGCUUAUUUAUGUGGCUGUCCUCCACCUUCAUUCCCAGAAUUUAAACAGAGAUCAGUCUUAUUUUCCUUUGUAUUCCCUUCCGCUACCUAGCAUUGAGCAUAUACGAUCUUCAGUUGUUGUUUAAAACAUAAAAAAAUAAAAAUAAUGGUAGUCGACA